GACGGGGGCUGGACGGUCGCCGGCGGACUAGUGCCGCGGGAGGAAAGUCCGGGCUCCACAGGGCAGGGUGCUGGGUAACGCCCAGGGGGAGCAAUCCCACGGAAAGUGCCACAGAAAUUACACAGCCUAAGACCUUUCGGGGUCCGGCAAUGGUGAAAUGGUGCGGUAAGAGCGCACCCACGACAGCCGGGUAACCGGCGGUGCGGCAAACCCCACCCGGAGCGAGGUCAAAUAGGGGAACGUGAGGCGGCCCGUCUCGAUGUUCCCGGGUAGACCGCUUGAGGGUCCCAGUAAUGGGCCCCCUAGAUGAAUGGCCGUCACCUGCCUUUGGCAGGAACAGAACCCGGCUUACAGGCCCCCGUCGCCU
rnacentral:RNase_P_RNA from 1 species